UACGUAGGGUGCAAGCGUUGUCCGGAAUUAUUGGGCGUAAAGAGCUCGUAGGUGGUUUGUUACGUCUGCUGUGAAAACCUAGGGCUUAACCCUGGGCCUGCAGUGGAUACGGGCAGACUAGAGGUAGGUAGGGGAGAAUGGAAUUCCCGGUGUAGCGGUGAAAUGCGCAGAUAUCGGGAGGAACACCGGUGGCGAAGGCGGUUCUCUGGGCCUGACCUGACACUGAGGAGCGAAAGCGUGGGGAGCGAACAGG
rnacentral:rRNA from 1 species